rnacentral:tRNA from 1 species
GCGGAUGUAGCCAAGUGGCUCAAG